rnacentral:rRNA from 1 species
GCUAAGUUCGUGCCAGCGGCCGCGGUAAAACGAAAGGGGGGAGGGGUAAUCGGAAUUACUGGGCGUAAAGCGCGCGUAGGCGGCUAUUUAAGUCUGAUGUGAAAUCCCCGGGCUCAACCUGGGAAUUGCAUCGGAUACUGGGUAGCUAGAAUGCGGUAGAGGGGGGUGGAAUUCCAGGUGUAGCGGUGAAAGGCGUAGAUAUCUGGAGGAACACCAGUGGCGAAGGCGGCCCCCUGGACUGACAUUGACGCUGAGGUGCGAAAGCGUGGGGAUCAAACAGGAUUAGAUACCCCAGUAGUC